rfam:Brassica napus, WGS project CCCW01000000 data, contig: 9835
GAAAUAUAAGAAAUCGUCUCUUAACUUAUAACUAAAAAAUUUAAGAACCGGUUCUUAGAUAAGAUAUUUAAGAGCCGGUUCUUAAUUUUUUAUUUAAAAGUUAAGAGAUGGUUUCUUAUAUUUU